UGUCAUGUGUGGCCCUUUGUCCAAGACCAGGACAAAGGGGUUGGAGGAAAAGUCCUCUUCACAACCCCUUGCCGGCAGGAUAAACUCCGAAUUCCCUGGACUGCCAUUCAAGGCCCUUUCAGUAUCUGAGCUCGAGUUGCCUACUUUCCUGGAUAUCCUCCCUGACAGUCCCAUAGAAAAGCAUCAGCUUUGGACUGUAAUUUCCUCCAGGGCAGCGACCUUGUCUUAUUUAUUUCUGCAUCUUCAAUGCUUGGCCUCAUAGCUGAGUUGUAUAAAUUGGUAAAAUGUGCAUGCUAACUUCAGUACCCCCUGUCUGGAAGGCCCCUGAUUCUUCUCUCUCCCCAUACAAAUACUACCCUUUUUAAAACUAUCAUGUCUCCAAAAGUUUUCCCAACCCACAUUCAUUACCAAGUUCCUUAAAAGAUGAAUAUAGUUCCUUGGCUUGUAAGUGUAUAUUAAUAUCUGGUUUCUUUAAACACCUGUGUUUGUAAUUAAUCACAGCCUGUUUGUUUUUAAAAUGCACACUCUUUCCCUUCUGUUGGAAAGGGCAUGGAAUUUGGAUAAACAAUAAUGAAGAAUGCUCAUCAAUAAUUCAGUUCCUAUUAUGAGUGCUUUGCAUGCAAAUUAUCAUUUGAAGUAAAAAAAAUCUGACUUUGAGACUUGGUUGUACAUCUACUACUUGUGAACUUAAGCAAAACAUUUCAACUCUCUGAACUUCAAUGUCUUCAUCUGGAAUAUGGGAAUUCUCAUACUAAUCUCCACAUUCUCUUCAUUGGGUUGUUUUAAGAGCUAGUAGUCAGGACAGUGCUUUGAAACCUGGUGUUGUGAGUUAUUGUCACCGGUAGGAGUUCUUUGAAUGCAGGGCACGUGUCUUACCGACUUUAUAGCCUUCUUUCUGUUCCACCCCAUGCAUGAGGUUCAGCCACCAAACCAGUAACACACAUCAGUUGCUUCUUGAGUGGAACUGAAGGUUUGUAGAGAAAAUGGUGCUGGAGGGUUGUCUGACUCUAGGUGGGGAAUCCAUACCCAUUGUGUGUGGUCAUUCAGGCCUGGGGAUUGUUAGGGUGUUUGUGGGAUUUUCUUAGGGUAACAAAUCCACAGGGGUCAAAGGUCACAGCUUAGGGUUGAGAAAUAUUAAGAGAAAAUUUAGGAAAAAGGGCAAGGUGAAGGCUAAGAAAUCCUAGGGAACAGAGUUAAGGAAGCUCAGACUUUAAACUACAGUUGACCCUUAAACAAUGCACAGUCAAAAAUCCGUGUAUAACUUUGUACUCCCCGAAAACUACUAAUAGUCUACUGGUGAUGGUAAGCCUUAUUGAUAACAUA
rnacentral:lncRNA from 1 species